ACGCUCGACACCUACGGGAGCAGCAGUGGGGAAUAUUGCACAAUGGGGGAAACCCUGAUGCAGCGACGCCGCGUGAGCGAAGAAGUAUUUCGGUAUGUAAAGCUCUAUCAGCAGGGAAGAAAGUGACGGUACCUGACUAAGAAGCACCGGCUAAAUACGUGCCAGCAGCCGCGGUAAUCUGAGCGGGCUGGCAAGGC
rnacentral:rRNA from 1 species